ensembl:ncRNA H35B03.23 ncRNA
UUUUAAAUUUUAAUGUUGAUUUUUCAUGUACGUCACACACACUUUUGAAGACAAAUUUGUUCAAAACGAAUUAUUUCUUUUGAAAAUUUGAAAAAGGCUAAAAUAAAACAAUGAGUGUUCUUAAUGGCGCCAUUCCUGUAAUUUUCCGAC